rnacentral:rRNA from 1 species
CCUACGGGUGGCAGCAGUGAGGAAUAUUGGUCAAUGGGCGGAAGCCUGAACCAGCCAAGUAGCGUGCAGGAUGACGGCCCUACGGGUUGUAAACUGCUUUUAUACGGGAAUAACGCGCCUUACGUGUAGGGCUUUGCAUGUACCGUAUGAAUAAGGACCGGCUAAUUCCGUGCCAGCAGCCGCGGUAAUACGGAAGGUCCGGGCGUUAUCCGGAUUUAUUGGGUUUAAAGGGAGCGUAGGCCGCAUGUCAAGCGUGCUGUGAAAUGUCCGGGCUCAACCCGGGCCUUGCAGCGCGAACUGGCGUGCUUGAGUCCGCGGAAAGCAGGCGGAAUUCGUCGUGUAGCGGUGAAAUGCUUAGAUAUGACGAAGAACCCCGAUUGCGAAGGCAGCUUACCAAGCUACUUCUGACGUUGAGGCACGAAAGCGUGGGGAGCAAACAGGAUUAGAUACCCUUGUAGUC